UCCAAGCAUUUCUUGUAAUGGCGUCAUGACUCGAAAGCAAAUUGCAACCAACCAAAGCAGGGGAAGAAGCAAGCCCUGACCCCACCAACCUGCAGAAGUACCAAUUACUGGGAGCUAUUAUCACGCUGAGUGCAGUAGGACUGCUCACCUGGGUAACAGCCAGAAGAAAUAGGCCUCAGAGAAGGACCUGCUGAAAAUCAGACACAACGCAGAUGAAUGCAGGCCACUUGACAGCAGAAGGUUGUCAGGAAGCCAAACUGGAAAGAGCAAUCCAAACCUAAAAUAAAAUCACCUACAUUUUCUAAAUAAAGGAAUAAAUGAAAUGGCAUAUGGAACUCAUGUAUGCAACUAUGUAUGGAGCGUGGAAAUCCUAGAAAGCUGGGGGCAAACUGAUGGAAAAUGAGGCCAAAAUUCACAGUAGAGGCUAAAACUACAGUCUGGGGCAGCCCCACUUAUGAUGGCAGGGACGCAUCCUAAUGCUUGUGCCUUUGAAGACAGCCCUCGUGUAUUUAUGUGCCAGCAGCCCCCUUACCAUUAGAAAUCCAGGAUACAGAUUAAAGCAAUAGCAGGUGGCAAUGUAAUU
rnacentral:lncRNA from 1 species